CUGAAUGGGGCAACCCGGCACAGUGAAGCUGUGUCACCACGUAAGUGGAGUAAACCCGGUGAACUGAAACAUCUAAGUAACCGGAGGAAGAGAAAACAAUAGUGAUUCCGUUAGUAGUGGCGAGCGAACGCGGAUUAGCCCAAACCAGUGUUGUUACGGCAAUACUGGGGUUGUAGGACCACAAUAUUUGAUGCUAAUUGAAUUAGAACUGUUUGGAAAGACAGACCAAAGAGGGUGAUAGUCCCGUAUAAGUAAGAGCAGUUAUUGAUAGUGGUAUCCUGAGUAGUGCGGGACACGAGUAAUCCUGUAUGAAUCCACCGGGACCAUCCGGUAAGGCUAAAUACUCCUGAGAGACCGA
rnacentral:rRNA from 1 species